rnacentral:lncRNA from 1 species
CACGCGGCGUGUUUUCUUGGACGUUGGCAGCUAGAGAUAUAGUAACUUUACAAAUCCUUGGUUCAGUGAUUUGCAACAUUUUUCUCUGUGUACAACCAGCGUAAAACCAUUUAAUUUGUCACUAAGACUUAACCUUAUUGUUUUAUUGCUAUAGUCGGGGUAAGCAUCGGUCGGGCGUCUUUGAACUUUGCGGUUCUAAUCGCCAACCACUAAGAUAUAUGAAAAACCACUUACAAGACCCUCUAACCAGGUGAGCUAAAACUGUUUGCUAUUUAUAUAAACAUCAGUGUAUAAACGAGCAUGAUGAGUAUCAUCAAAAUAUCAACAGUGGCUAAGUUGCGUGUUAAAAGGUAUCAAGAAAGAUAUUGUCAUCUUUACAAAGAAUUAAAAUACCACUACACGACCAUAAAAGAUAACAGGUGAUCAUGUACAGGUUGACAACAGGUAACCAAAGGUGACAACCGUUUACAUGUAGAUAAAGUCAUCAGUGAUCAUUAAGAGAAUAGUUGAGGUUUUUAUAACGUUACUGGGGUCGUCUGAGCCCAUGGUUAAAACGAUCGCCAGUAAUCAACCUUGACUGCAUGUAACUUAUCCGAGCCUUUCUACUGAGAGUAACACACUGAUGUAAUCCUAAACUAACGGAUCUGCCGGACAUUCGUUAUGGCCAUUGGGUGACCCUAUAUUUUUAUUUUAAUACACGUAUUAAAGGCGUUGUAUAAUGUAUAUAAAUGACAUGCAGUGAAAAUUCAGCUGAAGAUGAUUUUGUUUGGCUACUGAGUGCAAUAUGCAUACAUGCAAUCGAAAUGGGGACGUCAAAUCAUGGAAAGUGCCAUGAUCUCUGCAACAUAACAGUAAAACCAAAAUUUAAACCCGUCAUCUCGGCUAACCUUUAAUCUGUAUUAAUUUAUAUUGUUUUCCAAUCUUGAAGCUGCAUGAACUUUUUGCCACUGGACAUUAAACAGUCAGUCAAUCGAACUAUUUAAUUUUGUGUCUGAUUGGACGCAAUUUGAUGCAAACAGCAAAUAGGAUUUUCAAAUAAUAAUAAUGAUAAUUUCUUUGAACCCUCUUUUAUAAGAA